UCGGCUCAUCGCAUCCUGGGGGUGAAGAAGCUCCCAAGGGUUAGGCUGUUCGCCUAUUAAAGCGGUACGCGAGCUGGGUUCAGAACGUCGUGAGACAGUAAAGAUAGCGACAUUCUGUAUAAAUCGUCUUUUCGUCUAAAAAUUGUUCAAUCAUAUGAUUGAACUCGACCGUGCUGUCAUAAAAUCUGGCUAUAUGCUGGAACAUCUGGCAUCUCCCAACCAUCAGGAGAAUGGGAGAUUGGAGAAUCUCACACUACGUAGUAAACUACUUGUAAAAGAUACGUGAAAAUGUGUUGAGUGCAGAUAACCAGCAGGGAAGACUAAGAUAUGACAGCGUCGAUUCAUCCAAAUCUUGUUUAUACAAUGAACAAGUCUGGCAAGUAUCGACGUUGUAAACAUCAUCUAUCUUAGAACCCUCAGAGACUAUACGCCGGACUCCGAUGUCCAUCGGAGAAGAUAUAGUCCGAACCGCAUGGCGACAUGCAGAUCCCGAGAGAAAUCGAAGGACGCCACAGAGCACAACAGAAUAAUGAUGUGGUUUGCAAAGUAACAGAAUUGUCGGUCUCCUAUCUACCACGGGCGUUGAAGGUUGCGAGGAUCCAUUCCUAGUACGAGAGGACCGGAAUGGACGAACCUCUCGUGUACCGGUUGUUCUGCCAAGAGCAUUGCCGGGUAGCGACGUUCGGUUCGGAUAAGCGCUGAAAGCAUCUAAGCACGAAGCCGACCUCAAGAUAAGCCUUCGUUAUGAGACCCCUCGGAGAUGACGAGGUUGAUAGGCCGCAGGUAGAAGUCCGGUAACGGAUGAAGCCGAGCGGUACUAAUAGGUCCAGCUCUAUAACCAC
rnacentral:ncRNA from 1 species